rnacentral:rRNA from 1 species
AACGAACGCUGGCGGCGUGCCUAACACAUGCAAGUCGAACGAGAAAGGGGCUUCGGCUCCGAGUAAAGUGGCGCACGGGUGAGUAACACGUAGGUAACCUGCCUCUAAGAUUGGGAUAACCUGUCGAAAGACGAGCUAAUACCGAAUAAGACCACAGCUUCCUCAGAAGCAGGGGUCAAAGGUAGCCUCUACUUGUAAGCUAUCACUUAGAGAUGGGCCUGCGUACCAUUAGCUAGUUGGUGGGGUACGGCCUACCAAGGCGAAGAUGGUUAGCUGGUCUGAGAGGAUGAUCAGCCACACUGGAACUGAGACACGGUCCAGACUCCUACGGGAGGCAGCAGUGGGGAAUAUUGCGCAAUGGGCGAAAGCCUGACGCAGCAACGCCGCGUGAGUGAUGAAGG